UACGUAGGUGGCAAGCGUUGUCCGGAAUUACUGGGUGUAAAGCGCGUGUAGGCGGCAGACCAAGUCGGCGGUGAAAGCGCCCGGCUCAACUGGGCGAGGUCCGUGGAAACUGGUCAGCUGGAGGACGGUAGAGGCGAGUGGAAUUCCCGGUGUAGUGGUGAAAUGCGUAGAGCCCGAUCAGAACACCGGUGGCGAAGGCGGGUUGCUGGAGCCGGGCCGACGCUGAGACGCGAAAGCGCGGGGAGCGAACGGG
rnacentral:rRNA from 1 species